GAGAGGCGGCCCCGUGAGGCGACACCCGCGCGGCGGGGAAAAAGGCACCCGCCCGGCCAUUCGGCAGCUCCCCCUCCCCGCGACUCCCGCCAGCGGGGGCGACCCAGCGCCGCACACAGCGUGUCCCCGGGGGAAAGGUCUCACUCCAGGAUGUCAGUGUCUCCAUUCUACCAGGGAAUCCAGCACUAGGCCCAGCAUUCCAGGACUCUCUCAUGGGGGCUGAGAAAGUAUCAUCACCCCUCAGCUUGCUGGCAGUGCUCUUCCUGAUGGAGCCCAGGACGGCCUUAUUUUCUGGCUCGUGACUGAUUUGUUGUGCACCGUUUUGACACUCAGAUACCUUUGUGCAAAGCUGCUUCCCAGCCUCCAUUAUUGUGUGAAGGCAUGGAGAUGAAAGACAUGAAGGUAUGUAUGCUGAUGACAAGAUUUCUUGAAGCAUUUGCAGUGUCACAUUUUGUAUAUCCUUAGGCACGGCACUGAGUUCAUAUUUGUGAACUUGAUCUUUUUUUAUCUGUGUAUCAAUACAAUUCCAGAAUAUGAAUCAACCCAAAACAUACAGGAGUUGUCACAUAAGAAAACAUUAUGGUUGGUGUAACUGACCAUCAUUUUACAAUAGCUUUCUUCUUUCAUUGGGGCAUAAAAUUGUGGGGUUUUAAGUACAAAAGAAGCAGAGCAGAUACUAACAUGAAUGCUCUGCAUUUGUCAUGCAAGGAGAAAUUCAUGAUUGCAUCAGCCUCCACAGAGGGUAGCUGGAAGCCAUCCGACAGCGAUGACUAAACAGAAACUGAUCUGUUGUUUGCCGAUUGGCACACCGGUAUUGCCAGAGCCAGGAAUGCAGCACGGGAGACAAACAGUUGUAACCCUAUCACUUCUACAUAUACAUCAUAAUAGCAACAAACAACAUUUCCUGAAAAGAGCAGAAAAGUAACAGAGCAAUUGUUUUAUCGUGAGGGCAGUCAAUCUUUACUUCUUGAUCUUAAUUUGCCACCAUAAUCUUCAGAGAUCACUCAAUUUCCCAUACAGGCUGAAAUCACUAAGUUUCUGAAAAACAAUAGGUGUACCUAGUACACUUGCUCUUCACCACUUA